rnacentral:rRNA from 1 species
UACGUAGGGGGCGAGCGUUGUCCGAAGUUACUGGGCGUAAAGCGCGCGUAGGCGGCCAUCUAAGUUCGGGGUGAAAGGUUCAACGCUCAACGUGAACAGUGCCCUGAAUACUGGUUGGCUUGAGUUCGGGAGGGGGCAGUGGAAUUCCGGGUGUAGCGGUGAAAUGCGUAGAUAUCCGGAGGAACACCGGUGGCGAAGGCGGUUCUCUGGGCCUGUACUGACGCUGAGGAGCGAAAGCGUGGGGAGCGAACAGG